ensembl:lncRNA
UAGAUGUAAGUAAAUAAUGAUCAGUGUUUCUUGGCUUAGGGACAAAACAAUCAGUGUUCACUCAUGAUAAAGAAUAAGAAAGUACAUUUCUUGAAUGGAAUUACAAUUACAGGUCUCAGUAUACAUUUGCAAAUAAAACUGCUAUUAUAAUACUUUCUACAUUUUUAUGGAUCUGUGUAUGUAUGGCUGAACAUUGUUCCUCUCAAUGCUGCUCCCUAGUGGGAAUAUUAAGAAAACACCAAUUCAAUUCAAUUCAAUUUUAUUUAUAUAGCGCCAAAUCACAACAAAAGUCGCCUCACGGCGCUUCAACAUGGCAAGCAUCAUGAAGAAAGAUGAAGGAUGUGCACACAUACAGUACGAGUUAUCUUUCCUUAUAUCAGUAAAGCUGGAGUGCCUUUGCCACAGUUGGUGUAUGAAGAUAAUUAGCUGAUCACAUAUUCAGUUCAUAUUUCUAUUUGUGUUUAUGUAAAAAAAAUACACAUACAUUGCUGUGAAAAAGUAUUUGCACGGUUUCACUGUUUCCUGUUAAAUUUAUCAUGCUUACGUGUUUAGGGUUCAUCCAAAAAAAAUAAAAAAAUAAAUAAUAAUAAUAAUAAUAAUAAUAUUAGUCCUAAAAUAGCCCGAGUUAUGAUAAAAUAAAUUUUUUAAAUAAUGGUUUCAUUUAUUAAGGUAAAAAAAGAAAAAGCUGUCUAACCGUACCUGUCACUAUGUGAUAAGUAAUCGCUACCUAAACCUAGGGACUACAAUAGAGCAUUUGCAAUAACUAAUGAUGAGGCUGUCACAUUGCUGUGGAGGAAUUCUGGCCCACUCUCCUUUCUAAAAGUGUUUAAUUUAGCCACACUGGAAGGUUUUCAAACAUGUACAAUCUGUUUAAGGUGAUUCUAGAACAUUUUAUUCACAUUUAAAUCUGGACUUGGAUUAGGUCACUCUUAAACCUUAACCUUAUUUUCAUUGUUUUGACAUGAUGUGGACUUGCUAGUGAGUUUUGUCUUGCUGUGUAACCCAAGUGCACUUUUUAUCAGGCAAGAACUGAUGGACAUUCUCCUUUAGGAUUUUCUGGCAGAGAGCAGAAUUCAUGGUUUCAUCAAUUAUGUUGGAUCAUCCAGGUCCUGAAGCAGCAAAGCAGCCUCAGACCCUCACACCCCCACCAUGUUUAACUGUUCUUUUUUAUGAAAUGCUGUGUUAGGUUUAAGGUGUAAGGGAUGCAAACCUCCCAAAAAGUUCAAAUUUUG